rnacentral:antisense_RNA from 1 species
AGCCAACAAAGCCACAGCCCUAUCGGCUGUACUGGGCUCUGCCUUUUGGGCAGCUCGCCGGCCACUCCCCAAAAGCAGAGCAUUCCAUCCUUUCUCUUUUUAAACCCACGUCAUCAUCUGAUCAUAAUGGAAAUCAAUCUCCUCAAACCACCAUGCAAAGGCGUAUCCAUGGCAACCUCAAAAGGAAGGACACAGAGAUGAUGCUUCAGUGGCUGCAGCAGGAAAAGGAAACCUGUAGCUCAGUAUGGAUUCAGGGGCGCCUCAGACGCUCGCAGGAACGGAGGGGAGACCCUUGCAGUUCUGGAGGAACUCUAAGGCGCAGUCACUCUGAUCCCAGGAGAACACUGCUAGGCUGAAGAGCUGAGUCCAGCCCUGACUGAAAACUGCGCACCGACCGCAGCCGGGAUUACAUCAAUCAGGCACAAAGCUGGACACCUGGGACAGGAUAAGCGCACGCGCACUGUGCCUGGGAAGCCGAUUAGGACCAUAAGAAAUCGGCGUGUCGUGGCGAGCGCCCUCUUUCGGCGGAGGGGAGAAAGCGCAGAAGGGCUGGAGGACUCAUUUGCAAGUGUUAAACUGCUAAUUAAAACAAUAGCGAUAAACCAUAUCUCCUCCAUUAGCCUGGGGGAGAAAAUUAAAUGUUGCUGCUACUCAGUGUUACCUGUCAUAUGGGGAUACAGGCAUUCUCAUGCGCUUAUGAUGGGAAUGUAAAAUACAAAUUUACAUAAUGGCAUUUUAAAAUUUUAGACAUAGGUUCAAAUUCUUUUUUUUCUUUUUUUAAGACAAGGUCUCGCUCUGUUGUCUAGACUGGAGUGCGGUAGCACGCACAAUCAUGGCUCAUUGCGGCCUUGACUUCUCAGGCUCAGGCCAUCCUCCCACCUCUCAGCCUCCGUAGUAGCUGGGUCUGCAGGCGCGCACCACCAUGCCCUUUUAAUUUCCGUUUUUUUUUUUUUGUUUUUUUUUUUUUGUAAAGACGGGGUUUCACAAUGUUGCCCAGGCUGGUCUCGAACCCCUGGGCUCAAGCGAUCCAAUCGCUUCGGCCUCCCAAAGUGCUGGAAUUACAGACAUGAGCCACCGCACCCGCCUGGGUUCAAAUUCUAACUGCAAUUUACUAGCCGUGUGAAAUCUAGAGUUAGUUAUUUACCUUACCCUCUCUGUGCCUCUGUUUUCUUAUUUGUUAAAGUGAGAAUGUUAAUGAUGGUACCUAUCUCAUUAUGUUGUUAGAAGGAUUAAGUUAAUCCAUGUAAAGAGCUGGAAAUAUAACUAUUGUAAUGUUAUAUUUAU